CUUUAAAGCACACCGACCGUCCCAAUUCUAUUAUGGGGGGAUACCGACAAAACAUGGACCCUUGGUGUGCCUUGACGACUGAGUUGUGCUUAACAUUAAAAACAUGUCGAUGGUAUUGUGUCUUUAAGAUUAGAUUCCUGUAUUAGCACUUUCUGCGGAAAAAAGUAAUUGACUGUUUCUUGAAUGUUUUGGGAUUCCAGGGUAUCUAGGGGAAAACCCAUGGAGCUUGCUCUCUGUAGAUAAAUAUAUUUUCCAGUAAGUGGAGAAGAAAUCACUUUGUCUAUCCAGACACUUUGUGCAGAAGUUGCUCAUUUGAAUUUCGCUUUAAAAUUGUAUGUAUUGCUUUAUUUAUAAAUUAUGUGUACAGAUGUCGC